rnacentral:rRNA from 1 species
ACAGCAGCCGCCGCGGGAAUACCGAGGGUGCAAGCGUUAAUCGGAUUUACUGGGCGUAAAGCGUGCGUAGGCGGCUUCUUAAGUCGGAUGUGAAAUCCCUGAGCUUAACUUAGGAAUUGCAUUCGAUACUGGGAAGCUAGAGUAUGGGAGAGGAUGGUAGAAUUCCAGGUGUAGCGGUGAAAUGCGUAGAGAUCUGGAGGAAUACCGAUGGCGAAGGCAGCCAUCUGGCCUAAUACUGACGCUGAGGUACGAAAGCAUGGGGAGCAAACAGGAUUAGAUACCCCAGUAGUCCCUGUCUCUUAUAC